rnacentral:tRNA from 1 species
GUGAGCAUAGUUUAAAGAAAACGUCAGGAUGUGACCCUAACGAAGGGGGUUAAAAUCCCCCUGCCCAUC